CCCCUCUCAGGGUCGCACCUGGAGAGUUUCCAGUACUCUACCUGUCUCGGCUACAGGAGGGAGAGUCUGGCAGAGGCAUACCCAUUCCAUUUCGAGCUUGGCCAGCGGCUAGUGAGUAGAAGGCAAUCUGCUGCAAGU